GCUAUUCGACCCCAUGGUGCCGUGCUGGACGCGUGCUCCGCGGUCCUCCCCUCCCUCCAUGGUCUCGUAUAGUCAAAGGACGAUGGCGAGCCCUGGCACGGACGCGUGGGCUGCUGCUGUUCUGGCUGUAGAUUAGCGUUGCUUGCGUUGAUCAAACGUUUGCCCUGGACAUCCUGCUUAACGUCGACGACGGCGGCAAGACCAGCAGGCUUGAGAUAAUCACGCUCCCGCUCGCUCGGCCUCCUACCCCGCACGGGACGAGAUCUGCACAAUGAUGGUAACAGCGCCGACAAGGUCACCCUCUCCUUCGCAGCUUCUCCUCUGACCUUGUCGCUCCUCUAUCUCAGUCGACCACUUGCAGGUCGCCGAGGCCUUCCGCUCAUUUGACCGAGGCAACGGAGGAUGCAUCUCAACUGCCCAGCUUGUGCGCUCCAUGGUGCCAUUACAGGUGGCUGGAAGAAUGGUGUAUGCUCACAAGGCGCGUGAUCCUUCUAUAAAAUUCUGGCUAUAUGUGCAUUGCCUCAUUGGUUCUAAUUUAGUUGUGUUGGUAUAUUUGGGUUCCUAUAGGCCAAGUUUGUUUCACCGGACAAGAAUCCCACGAACCUUAAUGUGGUGCGGAAGUUUCAGGGAUGAUACGAUCGACCCAACUGUUAGCUUUGGAAUGCAUUUUGGGGUCGACUCAUGAAGACGAUGGCUAGCUUGCACCAACAUUUGUAGCUUCUGUAUAAAUGAAUCAGAUUGUCUACAAGCAAGGAAAAUGAUUAUAGGGAAUAAAAAGGUAUGCGCUGCUCCAUAAUACCCAGUUAUUGUCAGGAAACUUGCUUGUACGCCAUGCAACAACGACAAGUGGAUGAACAUGCAAUUCAACGACGGCGAUUCAGGCACUGACGCGGGUGACCUAGCGAUUUGACACGAGAGACUCAAACCUAUGCCAGCAGCAUCGAGGAAGGUGUGGAGCUCCUGGCCUCCUGAGGACGCCGCCAGGCUCAUCUCCGUGGCCCGCCAUGGUUGCAGUAUAGAAGAAACCCUCACUCCCACAUGUGUCCCUUUUUUCCUCCGCGUUGCUUCUAUGGAUCAAAACCCUAGCAAACUCCUCUCCAAGCACGCGAUUGAUUCCGUUCGUAUACAUCUGACGGUUUAAUGAAGAUGCAACAAAUUUCAUUUUGUAGUUUUGCUUGUGGAGGUGAUUGUCAUUGAAAAGCAUAAUUUUUUUAAUGGAUGUUACUUGCUAACUCGGAUGGCUCUUUAUAUGUUUAAAAUUGUUUGUAAACCAUGGACGAGACUCGGCAUUGGCAGUGUGG